rnacentral:sRNA from 1 species
GACAAUCAUCUGGGGGAAAUGAAAUAGGAUUAGGAUCAGGACUGAACAACAUGACGCCAUCUCCUUUUUCUCCCAAUCCUAGGUCCGGGUUUGGUAAUCACGUCCCCCUCAGGCUCUCUUGUGACCACAGCAUCAUCAGCUCAGACCUUCCCCAUUUCGGCUCCCAUGAUUGUCUCAGCUCUUCCCCCUGGCUCACAAGCCCUGCAGGUUGUCCCUGACCUCUCCAAGAAGGUAGCAUCGACCCUAACCGAGGAAGGAGGUGGAGGUGGUGGUGGAGGUGGCAGUGUGGCUCCUAAGCCACCCCGGGGCCGGAAGAAGAAGCGGAUGCUGGAAUCAGGGCUGCCCGAGAUGAAUGACCCUUAUGUCCUCUCCCCUGAGGAUGACGAUGACCAUCAGAAAGACGGCAAGACCUACAGGUGCCGGAUGUGCUCACUGACAUUCUACUCCAAGUCGGAGAUGCAGAUCCACUCCAAGUCACACACCGAGACCAAGCCCCACAAGUGCCCACAUUGCUCCAAGACCUUCGCCAACAGCUCCUACCUGGCCCAGCACAUCCGUAUACACUCAGGGGCUAAGCCCUACAGUUGUAACUUCUGUGAGAAAUCCUUCCGCCAGCUCUCCCACCUUCAGCAGCACACCCGGUAAGGCUGCUCUUGGUUUACCCCACCACCUGGCCGUGAACCUUAAGACCAUGUUGCCUGCACCUACUCCUCUCUCCACAUGUAUUUUUUUUCCCCUUUCACCUUUGCCCAUUGGUAGCCUCAACCUCCUAUUACUGUCUGUGGAAAUUAUAUAUC